GCUGGGCAUGGUGGCUCACACCUGUAAUCCAACAACUUGGGAGGCUGAGGUAGAAGGAUAAUAAGUUCAAGGCCAGCCUCAGCAACUUAGACUCUAUCUCAA
rnacentral:sRNA from 1 species